rnacentral:lncRNA from 1 species
GGAUGAGUUCCUUCAAGGUUUGGGUGCUGCUGAUGAAGACAUCUGCUCUGCAAGCCCUGAGCCGAUGUUUUCAAUGGAUCUUGACACUGAAUGGGAGAAAGGGCAUCUCCUGAAAGGCUCGUGCCUCGAGGAGUUCGAUGGAGCUGGAAAGCGAGGAGCAGCCGCUUCUGCGGGCAAAUGAGAGCAGCACCACGAGCCCCGAGCUCCCCGUCCUGCCCGCAGAACCGGUGUACAGGUUUUCCAAAAGCAGAGCAGCCACUGGUGGCUUUGGGAGAAACCAGGCAGAGCUGGGAGCAAACAGAGCAGGAAUGCCUGGAGAAGGCUGAGAUGCAGCACCCGCAGAGGUGGGAGCAGCCCCGUGGAGCCACGCCGCCACCGUCCCGCAGGAGACAUCAGUGCUUCCCCUCUGCUGUGCCCAACCUGCCCAGGAACCCCGUGCUUCAUCUUCCUCCUCUUCUUUCCUUUGUGUUCAUCAUUCAUGUGCACACCGUGUUUCCUUUCUGCUUUCUCCAUUUCCUGCUCCUUGGAGAAGGUGCUGCGUGUCUCACCACACUGAUGGGGUGGACAAAUUUGGUCUGA